UGAUCCAGCCAUGCCGCGUGUGUGAAGAAGGUCUUCGGAUUGUAAAGCACUUUUAGUUGGGAGGAAGGGCAGUGAGUUAAUACCUUGCUGUUUUGACGUUACCGACAGAAUAAGCACCGGCUAACUCUGUGCCAGCAGCCGCGGUAAU
rnacentral:rRNA from 1 species